rnacentral:rRNA from 1 species
UGAGUCUGCGGCUUAUUAGCUAGUUGGUAGGGUAAGAGCCUACCAAGGCGACGAUAAGUAGCCGGCCUGAGAGGGUGACCGGCCACAUUGGGACUGAGACACGGCCCAAACUCCUACGGGAGGCAGCAGCUAAGAAUCUUCCGCAAUGGGCGCAAGCCUGACGGAGCGACGCCGCGUGGACGAAGAAUGCCGAGAGGUUGUAAAGUCCUUUUAUUUGCGAAGAAUAGUAUCUAUAGGUAAUGAUAGAUAGAUGACGUUAGCUUAUGAAUAAGCUCCGGCCAAUUACGUGCCAGCAGCCGCGGUAACACGUAAGGAGCGAGCGUUGUUCGGAAUUAUUGGGCGUAAAGGGCAUGUAGGCGGUUAUAUAAGUCCGAUGUGAAAUACCACAGCUUAACUGUGGAAACGCAUUGGAAACUGUAUGACUUGAAUCAGUGAGGGGUAACCGGAAUUUCUAGUGUAGGGGUGAAAUCUGUUGAUAUUAGAAAGAACACCGAUGGCGAAGGCAGGUUACUGGCACAUGAUUGACGCUGAGAUGCGAAAGCGUAGGGAGCGAACAGGAUUAGAUACCCUGGUAGUCUACGCUGUAAACGAUGUACACUUAGUGUCGGGGUUUCUAAGCCUCGGUGCCGUAGCUAACGCGUUAAGUGUACCGCCUGGGGAGUAUGCCGGCAACGGUGAAACUCAAAGGAAUUGACGGGGGCCCGCACAAGCGGUGGAGCAUGUGGUUUAAUUCGAUACGCGAGAAACCUUACCAGGGUUUGACAUAUUUAUGAUCGACGUAGAGAUACGUAAUCCCCUUCGGGGGCAUUUAUACAGGUGCUGCAUGGUUGUCGUCAGCUCGUGCCGUGAGGUGUUGGGUUAAGUCCCGCAACGAGCGCAACCCCUAUUGUCUGUUACCAUCAUUAAGUUGGGGACUCAGGCAAGACUGCCGGUGAUAAACCGGAGGAAGGUGGGGACGACGUCAAAUCAUCAUGGCCCUUAUAUCCUGGGCUACACACGUGCUACAAUGGCCGGUACAGAGUGAUGCGAACCCGCGAGGUGGAGCAAAACGCUUAAAGCCGGUCUCAGUUCGGAUUGGAGUCUGAAACUCGACUCCAUGAAGGUGGAAUCGCUAGUAAUCGCGCAUCAGCAUGGCGCGGUGAAUACGUUCCCGGGCCUUGUACACACCGCCCGUCACACCACCCGAGUUGGGGGUACCCGAAGUCGUUAGCCUAACC